UACGUAGGGGGCAAGCGUUGUCCGGAUUUAUUGGGCGUAAAGAGCGUGUAGGCGGUUUGGUAGGUCCGUUGUGAAAACUCGAGGCUCAACCUCGAGACGCCGGCGGAAACCAUCAGGCUAGAGUCCGGAAGAGGAGAGUGGAAUUCCUGGUGUAGCGGUGAAAUUCGUAGAUAUUGGAAAGAACACCGACGGCGAAGGCAGCCGUCUGGACCGACACUGACGCUGAGGCGCGAAAGCGUGGGGAGCAAACAGG
rnacentral:rRNA from 1 species